GUAAAAGGAUUUUCAAAAGGGCCCUUUGUUUGCUCUGUUGCUAAGCUCCUGUUUUUGUUAAAUGUCCUACUGAGCUCUGCCCACUUCAUUCUUUUUGUUAAGACUAAAGGCGCUCGUUACCAAGCAGCCCUUAUUGUGUGCUGUGUCUCUAAUCCACCUUUGUGCCACUGUCUGCAGCUUUCUCCUGGGGCCAUAAGAACAAACUAGUUCAAACUCUGUGGAUGUAAACUCUAUAGAAGUGACAGGUCAGGACAUAUCUCCAGGAAAUUCAAGGUAAGCCAGUACCUUUGUUGUCAGGAUGGCUCCAUAUAGUUUGUCGCAGCCACUGUCCUCAGUCUCCUUUGAGGAAAAAAUGAAAUUCUCUGCAAGCCAGUCUCUCUCUUUUGCAAGAAGCAAAUGGUUCGCACUCCCACAGACUGAGAGUCAAAGCGUCGUGUGGAGCAUCAAACCACCAGAUUUCUCUCUGAAGCUGUACAGAUCUCUGUCAGAUCCUCAAAAGAAAGACAGAAAUACACAUUCAAAUCCAGUUGUACUGCACAAUAAUGAAACAAAGAGGAGAACUGGAGUACUUCUACCAAAGAUUUUACAUGAGAGUUACCAAAGGGAAAAUCCUCCAAAGUUCAUCACAUCCUACAAGCCUCCUGAUGCUCUGGAAUCUGAGCUGAUGUUUGUCAAGACGGGGAAGUUCCCAUCUGGAUCUUACAAGAACCCCAAACCUCAUGACUUCAGACAGCUUAAUGAAGACAUUCCAGACAUUGUUACUUCAUAUGACAGAGAUCCUGGCAACCUGAAUUUUAAAUUAAAGCACUUGGACAUCAUUCGGGCAACUAGAUCCGAGUCAGACUUCAGUUCAAGAGACACCAAGAAAAGAAUGGACACCUUUAAACCUGCAGAGCCCAGAUGGGAUGCGAGACUCGUCCUUCCUCAGCCAACCUGGCCUCCAAAAUCAGCUUCCUACACCAGGCACCGACGAAGAAGAGGAGCAUACAGCGCAUUCUUGGACCGUGUGGAGGAGAAACUCUCAAGAUCAUGGAAAAAUAGAUCAUGACUGUCUCUUCUUAAAUUCAUCUUUGAAAAUGAUUUUUUACAUGUGCAUGCUUGACUUUACCAAUAUGGUGUACUGUUGAAAAUAAAAUUGGAAUAAGUGUUGAAUAAGCAUGAAAUUCCAAUGAACAAGCCGAAGAUAAACAAAUCAGCUUGACAAGAUAUAUUUGUGAUCAUAGAAAAGCCAAAAAAAACGAGUGCACAUCUGAGAACACAACGUGAACUGAAAAGGACUGAACAGAUCUGACGUAUUCAAAGAUUCCUGUCGCUCUAAUCUUAUGGCAGAAGACAUGCAGUGACUGUGGUGUCAUGAAGGUCAACACACCACUUUAGGGAACCCACUGGUCUACUGACAGCUGCUCAUUCGGUACUGCAGGAAUGAUAAACAUGUGAAGCCUGCACAUGUUUGCAGCAUAUCUGAGGGAGCUGCACAUAUGUGUUUCAUGUGUCAUCUGUGACUCUGUGCUUAACUCGCAGACUAAAUAUAAAAUGAAACGAAUAUCUGUCACUGCGUUGAGCCACAUGACCUGCAGGCAGGCUGCCAUGUGUUUUUCUAAGCUUAUUGCAGCAUGGCUAAUAAAUGUUCUAUUUACUAGUGUCAUUGUGCUUUACAGUGCUGAGCAAAAGUCUUGAGGCAGUCAGGGAAAAUGCUAGACAUUGAAAACACAAAAUGUAGCCAAAUACAGAAAAUCCUGGGAACACAAUAAGUUUCAUCCAAGUCUGCUAAAUAAAUCCUCUCCAAAGGAAGCUAUAUGAUAUAAGCACUUCACUUCCUAAAAGAACCAUCACAGAAACUGCGAAAAAAUAUGUUUAACAUAUCAACAUAUUAGCUACAUAGCAUGAAUAUACACUAGAAUAUAUAAAAUCAAAACCAACAUGGCUGUCACCUCCGCGCUGAGCUAGCUAAGAUGCAAGACCAGCUCUAUGAAGUUUCAUCUUCACAAUGCUACUUUUUUGAUUUUUGAAACAUAAAUUAAAUCCCUGAAGUAAAAAGAUUAUAACUAAAGUCGGCCUGCAAAGACGGACUAGUGAGUAGAUAGAUCAUGGUGCUGCAUCGUAGUCAACUGGAGUUUCUUGAUGACGUUUCACCUCUUAUCCGAGAGUCUUCUUCAGUUCUAACUAACUGGAGGGGAGUCGGCAGGCUUUUAUCAGUAUCAUACAGUCUGCCUACUCCCCUCCAGUUAGUUAGAAAUGAAGCAGCUUCUUGGAUAAGAGGUGAAACAUCUUCAAGAAACUGAAACAUCCAGUUGCCUACGAUACAGCACCUACCUACUUGAUAGCAACAGCCAUCUUUACCGGUGCUUUACAGUUAAAUUGCGGGACACCUAAUGAAGUUUUUCAUGUUGCAGAACAAACCAAAAAUCAAUUAAAAAUAAACCUCAUAAACCUUGACACAAGGGAACCAGAUGUGUAAAACUGCUAAUUGAUUUCCAGGUUUUAUGACCACAGACUGACUUCACUCUAUUAACGGCUCUGCAUACUUUCUCUGAAAUAAGAUCUGAUGGUGGGCUUCUGUUAGGGGAAUGAAUUAUAUCAUUAUUUUUAUGUAUUUUUGUGUAGGCUGCGAAUGCUAAGAAAAGGCCUAAUUUUGUAAUUUUGUCUGGGUGGCCAUCUUUUACUACAGUAAAGUAGGUGACUACUUCUUCCACCACUGGCCUCCGUGUGAAAAUAAACAAAAUCGAAUAAACAACUGUGACCUAAAGUACUUACAGAAACAGGCACAGGUUAUGUAAGACAGUCGAUAGACGGUCAGGCCAAUUUGUCUGUUUAUCUCUCAUGCAUGGUGGGCUGCAGUCAGCGUGGCGCUCUUCCUGUUUUCUGACCAAUCAGUUCAAAGAAAAACACAAGGGUGGACGGGGCGGGGCUUCUCUCUCUCUCUCUCACACACACACACACACACACAAAGACACACACACUCUCUCUCUCUUUGUGUGUCCAUCUCUCGCCACACACACACGGUCAGAAAAGGGAAAGCACGCUGACUCGCCGAGCUGAAUCAAUG
rnacentral:lncRNA from 1 species